rnacentral:rRNA from 1 species
GACGAACGCUGGCGGCGUGCCUAAUACAUGCAAGUCGAGCGAAGCGGCGGAUGGGUGAGUAACGCGUGGGUAACCUGACCUUAAGGCUGGGAUAUCAUUUGGAAACAGAUGCUCAUACCGGAUACUAAAGGCUGGGCCUGCGAUGCAUUAGUUAGUUGGUAAGGUAACGGCUUACCAAGGCGAUGAUGCAUAGCCGAGUGGAGAGAGUGAUCGGCCACAUUGGGACUGAGACACGGCCCAAACGCCUACGUGAGGCAGCAGUAGGGAAUCUUCCACAAUGGACGAAAGUCUGAUGGAGCAACGCCGCGUGAGUGAAGAAGGUUUUCGGAUCGUAAAGCUCUGUUGUUGGUGAAGCGGUAAUCAACCAGAAAGUCACGGCUAACUACGUGCCAGCAGCCGCGGUAAUUC